UAGGGAAUCUUCCACAAUGGACGAAAGUCUGAUGGAGCAACACCGCGUGAGUGAAGAAGGGUUUCGGCUCGUAAAGCUCUGUUGUUAAAGAAGAACACGUAUGAGAGUAACUGUUCAUACGUUGACGGUAUUUAACCAGAAAGUCACGGCUAACUACGUGCCAA
rnacentral:rRNA from 1 species